rnacentral:rRNA from 1 species
GACCAGACUCCUACGGGAGGCAGCAGUGGGGAAUAUUGCACAAUGGGGGAAACCCUGAUGCAGCGACGCCGCGUGAGCGAUGAAGUAUUUCGGUAUGUAAAGCUCUAUCAGCAGGGAAGAAGAUGACGGUACCUGACUAAGAAGCCCCGGCUAACUACGUGCCAGCAGCCGCGGUAAUACGUAGGGGGCAAGCGUUAUCCGGAUUUACUGGGUGUAAAGGGAGCGUAGACGGCGGCGCAAGCCAGAUGUGAAAGCCCGGGGCUCAACUCCGGGACUGCAUUUGGAACUGUGUGGCUGGAGUGUCGGAGAGGCAGGCGGAAUUCCUAGUGUAGCGGUGAAAUGCGUAGAUAUUAGGAGGAACACCAGUGGCGAAGGCGGCCUGCUGGACGAUGACUGACGUUGAGGCUCGAAAGCGUGGGGAGCAAACAGGAUUAGAUACCCUGGUAG